rnacentral:rRNA from 1 species
UACGUAGGGCGCGAGCGUUGUCCGGAAUUAUUGGGCGUAAAGAGCUCGUAGGCGGCCUGUCGCGUCCGCUGUGAAAACCCGGGGCUCAACCCCGGGGCUUGCAGUGGAUACGGGCAGGCUAGAGGCAGGCAGGGGAGAACGGAAUUCCCGGUGUAGCGGUGAAAUGCGCAGAUAUCGGGAGGAACGACCGGUGGCGAAGGCGGUUCUCUGGGCCUGUACUGACGCUGAGGAGCGAAAGCGUGGGGAGCGAACAGG